rnacentral:rRNA from 1 species
GAUGAACGCUAGCGGCAGGCUUAACACAUGCAAGUCGAGGGGUAGAAGUUGCUUGCAACUUUGAGACCGGCGCACGGGUGCGUAACGCGCAUGCAAUCUACCUUAUACAGAGGGAUAGCCCAGAGAAAUUUGGAUUAAUACCUCAUAGUAUAAUUGAAUGGCAUCAUUUAAUUAUUAAAGUUCCAACGGUAUAAGAUGAGCAUGCGUCCUAUUAGCUAGAUGGUAAGGUAACGGCUUACCAUGGCAACGAUAGGUAGGGGUCCUGAGAGGGAGAUCCCCCACACUGGUACUGAGACACGGACCAGACUCCUACGGGAGGCAGCAGUGAGGAAUAUUGGACAAUGGGCGCAAGCCUGAUCCAGCCAUGCCGCGUGCAGGAAGAAGCAUCUAUGGUGUGUAAACUGCUUUUGUACGGGAAGAAACACCCCUUCGUGAAGGGACUUGACGGUACCGUAAGAAUAAGGAUCGGCUAACUCCGUGCCAGCCGCCGCGGUAACAC